UUGACGCCGUUAUAGCGCAUAGGAAAUGCAUGAAGACGAAAGUUUGCGUGGCCGUAUUUAUUUUGUGACGCAGUGCCUGAUAUCGACGACUUUUUUUUGUAGGGUUUCCUGGCGUAACUUCUUCAUUCCGCGGCAGCGGAAGUCUGUCUGUCAAACAAAAGAGCGGCUGUGCGUUAUUUUCGGUGAAUCUCUUCCUGAUGACCACCGGAUGUUGGCCAGAUCAUGCAUGCCAAGGCUUUAACGACAUGGCGGCAAGAUGUCAGGCCGUGUUGUGGGGCCAGCGUGCGUGGGCCAACAUACUCUGUUAGCGACAUUGGCCCAUGCUUGUUUCAGACAUUCUUGGCAGACGAAGUCGUUUGCCCACCGACUGCCGAUGGCCGGCCGAUCAUCGGUAGUUGGCAAAUUCCCUUUCGGUGCUCACUUUUUUGGAUGAAUACUUCAUGUUUGUUUCCCAGCAAAAGUAUGAGGUUUUUUUUUAGGCGGAGAUGUUAAUAUUGAUAUGGCGUCAAACUGUUAUAAAAAACAGUUGGCAAUGUUAUACAGUGGAUAUGGUUUUUAUAACAGAAUUUCUACACCUACUAGUGUUACAGAACACUCUACUUGACCUGUUUCUAACGAAUUAUGAUAUGUCAUUGUUAAAGACCUGUGUUGUAACAAGAGACGUUAGUGGUCAUAUACCGGUAUGCUUGAUUGCACAAAAGGCCAAAGAAGAAACAUUACAGCUUGCCACAGAAGACAGACUGCGAGCUUUCCAAAAUGAUAUUAACAACAUUGACUGGAAUUUCGUGUUUUCUGUGCAUCAUAAGCUUCAUUGGGAUCGUCGUCGACAUUCUUGACCGCAUAUACAUCACGUGUUCCUGUUGUGACGAAAACAGGUUUUAAAAAAUAUGCAAAAAGGAACUAUUACCUUAACUUGUUUUGCAAUACCCAGCCAACUAAGCAUUCAAAUAUUAUAUGGAACAACCUGAAUAGGCAGUUGAACAGGGGCACAAACGGGCACGGGGCAUGAAGAAAUAGUAGACGGUGUUGAUAUGGCAGAGUGUUUGAACUCUUACCUAACGAGUUUGUUUUCCCACAACAAUGACAGUUAACCGACAAAUGUCUGAUGAUUUUCCGUAUAAUUCUAGUCAGUCAAUAUUCCUCCUUCCGGUUGAUGACACCGAAAUAAUAUCUGCCUUUUCCACACUAAACAUGGAUGGAUUACUUUAAUAUGCAGAUUGCACCGGUAAAACAUGUUCUGCGCGACAUAGUACCUUACUUGACACAUAUAUUUAACCGUUGUUUCACAGUUGGUGUUUCCCCAAAGCAACUGCAGAUUGCUAAGGUUUGUUUUACACAAGGGUGGUGAUGUGAAUGAUCUAUCCAAUUACCGCCCUAUUUCAAUACUUCCAGUUUUCUCAAAAAACCUGGAAAGAAUCAGGUACAACAGGCUAUUACGAUUCCUUGAAAAAAAAAUCGUUUAUCACAGCCUCACAAUACGGGUGUCGUAGACAAAGAUCAACUGAACUCUCUCUUAAACGCGCUCUUAAAACAGAAAGUAUAUUCUUAGCAACCUUGAAAAUCGAAAGCUUACACUGGGUGUGUUUGUCGAGUGUAUGCUUUUCUCUUCUUAGCUCAUACUUGGAACACCGACAACAAUGUGUACUUAUCAACAAUAGUCGUUCUUCUAUUAAGAAUGUCACGUGCGGGGUACCCCAGGGAAGCAUUAUAGGGCCUUUAUUAUUUAUGUAAAUGACAUCGUUAACAUAUGUCCAGUAACCAGCUUAUUAUUUACGCUGAUGACACUAGUUUGUUUUUUGUUGGUGAUAAUGGUCAAGAAAUUGUACAGAAAGCCAAUGAUGUUUUGCACCGAUUAUAUAUCUGGUCUGAAAAUAAGUUGAAAAUCAAUGUACGUAAAACCUAACUAAUUUUAUUUCAACCAAAAAAUAAGAAUGCGAGUCUGUGCUCCCCAAUUCUUCUGGGAGGGGACUACGUAGAUGUGGUCGAAUCUGUUAAAACAUUAGGUGUUUUUUUUUUUUCAUUAAACCAUUGAGCUGGCGACAACAUAUUGAUUUCGUGCGUUCAAAAGUAUCUCCUGCUGUUGGAAUGAUUUAGUGGAACACACACUUACUUCCAUGAAAGGUUUUGUUUCUACUGUGUCAUUGCAUGAUAUACUCCCAUGUAAAUUACUGUUUUCUGGUAUGGGGCAAAAGACAAAACUGGCUUAGAAGAAUUACUUAAAAGUUCCUUCGCAUUGUUGAGGGAAUGUCUUAUCACACCACAUAUGGGCGUUUUUUAAAAAGAAUCUUAUUCCUAUAACCCAGUUGUAUGACUACAAAGCAUCAUUAGGCUAUAGGGCCGCAAUCUAAAUAGUAAUUUAGUAUUUAAUGAUAUUGCAAAUUUGAUUCCUAAAGCACCUCUAUCCAUCCCGGCAUCAUGAAAGAUGGACUGUUCCAAGAUGUAGAACAAUUUAUGGCACACUCUUCUCCGGCACUUUUAAAUUCAACCACACAGGAACUGUCACAAUGUUCCAGGCAUACCAUUUUUAAAUAUUCUCUCAAUUACCACGAUUAGCUUUCGUUAUUAUUUCAAAUAGCGAUUUUUUCCCUGCUCUACAUAGUGAAUAUAUAACCUGUGAGCUGUCUUAGUGUAUUGUAGUUUCAUUAUUGAGUUGCAAAGUUGUAUUUUUUUCUGUUUUCUUCUGUGCUGUUCUGACUUUUAUUCUAUUUUGGGAGGAUGUCUAUAGUGUAUCAAAGUUCAUUAUUGCCACGAAUCAUCAUCGCGGAACUUCCAGGGCAGGCACGAAACGGUACAUCUCAUCCCGGCACAUGCUGAAGAAGCAUGAAGCUUCCAGACACAUCGCCUGCUCCCUGGCAAACGCACGUGCUGUUUCUAGACUUUUCGGCGCGACGCUUAAAUGCUUGUGCGCUCCAAGCUGGAGCAUUCAUUCUUUGGACUCAGUUGUGUUCAGAGAGCUAUCACUCUUGUGUUUUGCUACCAAGUAGUCUAAUAAACCGUUCACUGUUUAUUCGACGACUCGCCCACCCAUUUCGCUUCGUGACAUUGUUUCUGUCGUGUUUAGUAGUAUUGUUGCUGUUGAUUGUUGUUUAUUUCUUUGUAUUAUUAUUGAAGUGCAUGUUACGCUGCAGCUGCUGUAUGGGACCAGUGACCUCGUCAAGCCACGUGCACUCAAUGUUUGUUACUGGUUCCAGCUUCUUAUGUAGGCUAAAACAAAACAUUAAAUAAAUAAAUAAGCUUGAUGUC